rnacentral:rRNA from 2 species
ACGGGGUGCAGCAGGCGCGAAACCUUUGCAAUGUGCGCAAGCACGACAAGGUUAAUCCGAGUGUUUCCUGCUAAAGGAAUCUUUUGUUAGUCGUAAAACCACUGAUGAAUAAGGGGUGGGCAAGUUCUGGUGUCAGCCGCCGCGGUAAAACCAGCACCUCAAGUGGUCAGGAGGAUUAUUGGGCCUAAAGCAUCCGUAGCCGGCUCUGCAAGUUUUCGGUUAAAUCCAUUUGCUUAACAAAUGGGCUGCCGAAAAUACUACAUAGCUAGGGAGUGGGAGAGGUAGACGGUAUUCGGUAGGAAGGGGUAAAAUCCUUUGAUCUAUUGAGGACCACCUAUGGCGAAGGCAGUCUACCAGAACACGUUCGACGGUGAGGGAUGAAAGCUGGGGGAGCAAACCGGAUUAGAUACCCGGGUAGUCCCAGCUGUAAACGAUACAGACUCGGUGAUGCACUGGCUUGUGGCCAGUGCAGUGCCGCAGGGAAGCCGUUAAGUUUGCCGCCUGGGAAGUACGUACGCAAGUAUGAAACUUAAAGGAAUUGGCGGGGGAGCAC